rnacentral:rRNA from 1 species
UACAUGCAAGUCGAGCGAAUGGAUUGAGAGCUUGCUCUCAAGAAGUUAGCGGCGGACGGGUGAGUAACACGUGGGUAACCUGCCCAUAAGACUGGGAUAACUCCGGGAAACCGGGGCUAAUACCGGAUAAUAUUUUGAACUGCAUAGUUCGAAAUUGAAAGGCGGCUUCGGCUGUCACUUAUGGAUGGACCCGCGUCGCAUUAGCUAGUUGGUGAGGUAACGGCUCACCAAGGCAACGAUGCGUAGCCGACCUGAGAGGGUGAUCGGCCACACUGGGACUGAGACACGGCCCAGACUCCUACGGGAGGCAGCAGUAGGGAAUCUUCCGCAAUGGACGAAAGUCUGACGGAGCAACGCCGCGUGAGUGAUGAAGGCUUUCGGGUCGUAAAACUCUGUUGUUAGGGAAGAACAAGUGCUAGUUGAAUAAGCUGGCACCUUGACGGUACCUAACCAGAAAGCCACGGCUAACUACGUGCCAGCAGCCGCGGUAAUACGUAGGUGGCAAGCGUUAUCCGGAAUUAUUGGGCGUAAAGCGCGCGCAGGUGGUUUGUUAAGUCUUAUGUGAAAGCCCACGGCUCAACCGUGGAACUGCAUAAGAUACUGGCAAACUAGAAUUUAGGAGAGGUAACUGGAAUUCCAUGUGUAGCGGUGGAAUGCGUAGAUAUAUGGAGGAACACCAAUAGCGAAGGCAGGUUACUGGACUAUAAUUGACACUGAGGA